CCAUCGGUCCUCCUGAUUUGUUUCAGUGUUUUGAUCCGAUUUUCCUUUAUUUUCUAAAUUUGCCUCGCAUAUUUCAUUGUUGUUUCAUUUUGGUCCCUUCGGCCACUAUGCGUUUUGAAGGAUAGGGAAUAUUUCCCAUUUAAUCCCUCAUGUAAUGCGCAAGCUUCAUUUUACCUUUUAAUUUUGUUUUAUUUUUCUUUUUAUUUAUUUUCUUUUCCAAUUAAGCAUUAAAUCUAUUUUAAUU
rnacentral:lncRNA from 1 species